rnacentral:piRNA from 1 species
UAGUUCAGUGUUGUGGCUGUGACUUGGA